rnacentral:lncRNA from 1 species
AAGGCCCUCUGCUUCCCACCCUUUUUUUCAGAUGUUAUUGAUGGGCCAUGUUUCAAAUGUUUAAAGUUUGGGGGCACUCUUUGAAGGGCACCUUUUUACUUCAAAGAGUUUCAGUCCCUCGCCUUGCGUGCUGGUAGGCCAAAUAUUUCCCCUGGUGUGCUGUCACUUUGAAGGCACUUCUUGAUGCUCUUUAUGGUUGAGUCUCACUACCGAGGAAGUAAACCACUGCUUACACUUCCAUGGGUCUUUCGAUUAUUCUUCAAUAUUUCCCUCUCUCUGUUCUUGUAAAUAUCUCUAACUAAUAAAAUUGGGUGGCUUGACCUCCCUUUUGCUUAAACAAGAAGUUUCAGAGCACUCUGUUUCAGAUGUUAUCGUUGGUGCAGGUGCUGCUGGCUCU